ACGGGUGAGUAAUACAUAAGUAACCUGGCCUUUACAGGGGGAUAACUGUUGGAAACGAUAGCUAAGACCGCAUAGGUGUGAUAACCGCAUGGAGAUGACAUGAAAUAUGCUACGGCAUAGGUAGAGGAUGGACUUAUGGCGCAUUAGCUAGUUGGAGGGGUAACGGCCCACCAAGGCGACGAUGCGUAGCCGACCUGAGAGGGUGACCGGCCACACUGGGACUGAGACACGGCCCAGACUCC
rnacentral:rRNA from 1 species